UGCAUCGGCCGGUGCACCCGGUGAACCCGGGCCGCCUGCGUGGCAGGCGAGCAUUCUACCACUGAACAUCCGAUGC
rnacentral:tRNA from 1 species